rnacentral:lncRNA from 1 species
GUUACUUCCUUUCUUUCUGCCAUGGCAUCUUUAUUGCAGAUCUUUAUGAGUCCUGAAUGACAUACUGGAGUUACCAUGAAGUAUGUUGUAUGCAAAUUUAAGCUUUUACACUUAUUAACUAUUUAAGUCAGUCCCCAAGCUAUGUAGACUUGUUCUUAAGUUGAAUUUGUAUGUAAGUUGAAACAGAUAGAUUUUUAAGUGUAACUCCAUCAAUAGAUAGACUUAGGAUCACCCUAAGUCUGAAAUGACUUGAAGACACACAACAACAAUCCUAAAUAAUGACUAUUUCAUCAGCCAAAAGCAGGCCCUCACUUCCCAUUGAAAUACCGGACCCUCCCUGGCUCUUGACAUCUGCCUUUGUGAAGCUCAGCUGUACAAAGAGACAUGUAAAAACACCCAAUUAAACAUGUGAUGAGAAUCCCCGCCUGCCCAUUUGUAAAUAAAAUGAUGACGUCGGCAUGGGGAGGGGAGCCGAGAUGGGCAGUAUAGAAUCCCUUCUUUCACCAUAAUCUCGAGAACUGAGCAGGUAAUUUAUAUCUUUCUUAACAAUGGCUAAUGCUUCUUCAGGUGGGUGGCUCUCAUUGAAAUAAGUGUUUAAAAAUGAUGCCUUAACUCAGCUAUAGCUGAAGGGUGUUGAAGGCAAAUGACACCAGAAAAAGUAGCUUCUUAAGUGUUAUGUCUUAUGUAGUUGCAGGGUAUGAGGGCAAACCACUCCAGAAAAAGUGGUUCUUUAAGACUGGUGCCUUAAAUCAGCUGUAGUUGAAGGGUAUGAGGGAAAACAACAUGGGCAGGAGGAGACAGUGGGGGGAGGCAUAUGUGUCCUGUGUGAUGGCAAAUCAAAUGGAUAAA